rnacentral:rRNA from 1 species
UACGUAGGAGGCGAGCGUUGUCCGGAGCUACUGGGCGUAAAGGGUGCGCAGGUGGCCGUGCGCGUGGGGAGUGAAAUCGCCUGGCUUAACUGGGCGGGGGCUUUCCAGACGGCGCGGCUUGAGCCACAGAGGGGGGCGUGGAAUUCCGGGUGGAGCGGUGAAAUUCGUAGAUAUUCGCAAGAACACCAGUGGCGAAGGCGGCUCACUGGCCCGGAACUGACGCUGAGACGCGACAGCGUGGGGAGCAAACAGG